UCAUACAAACAUAGUUUCACUCUUAUUUCCUAUUUUAACCGACUUCGAAAAAAGGAGGAGGUUUUCAAUUCAUCGGAAUCUUUUUUUUUAUGUAUGCUCCCCAAUUACUCUAAGACGCCUAGACCGAUUUGGAUUAUUUUUUGUUUGCAAGGGUAUACUUUGCAGGUGGUUCCAUAUAAAUUUGGUGAAGAUUUUAUGAAUACCUUCGGAGACGGAGAAUAGAACUCUUCAAUGGAUAAGAGUAAAUUGCUCGCGAUCAGUGUUAUAGCUUAGUAAACAGUAGGGUUUUAACUGGGCAUAUAGUACAGUGAGGCCACUAAAAAUUGUGA